UUUUACUUCAUGAUAUUUUUUUGUUUUCAAAUCAAAUGAGUCAGCAUCACUUGCCUUGGAACUGAAUUGUCUACUGAGCUCUGGGAAGCUUUAUGAAAAAGAGGCCAGAGGAGGGAGACUGGCGUUGCCUGGGCCAAGGAAGCUCCUUAGAGAUGAGGUCACAGAACAUCAGAGCUGACGAGAUGAGACCAACUGCCUCAUUUUACAGAUGAGGAAAUGAAGAUCAAAGCGUGGAGUGACUUGCUCAAGGUCAUGCCCCCAGCUUGUGACAGAGUGGAAAUGAGAACAUGGCAUUAGUCCUUGCAGCUUGAACUUUUGAAAGAGCAAAAAUCCUGGGGUGAAGACCAUGGAAAGCUGCAAACACAGAUUUGUAUUAAGAACAUGCAGACGUCUAAUGCGUGAAGUAGGAGGAUUUUUCUAGAAAUGUACUGCUCUGCAAAUGUACCCCCACCUUAGAUAGAGAUAUGAGCACAGAGAAAUGUUUUGGCAAGAAAUAGAACAGUGCCAAAGGAAUGGAAAACAGUGACUGACCUGAGGCCUCAGCAUCCCAGGACAAGACAGAACACAGGAGCAUGGCCACCAGGUCUCAAGGGGGCCACUCCGGCUGGUUAUGGCCACCUAAGAAUUCAACCCUGGUAAUAUUACCAGGUUGUCCGAUUUUAAAGAGAAGUGAGAAAUUAAGGUUAUUGUGUAAAAUCCCCCAGUUUAGGAAAGCUGUGGCAGUAGAUUGUGAUCUGCUUGUUGAAACUUGCAUGUAACACACCAGUCCUUGAGACGUAUGAACCUGUACUCUGAUGACUAUUGAAGGACAUACCUCUUGCCAUGUACGAGAGGCUGGGUAUAUGUCCCCCUACUUCUCACCUCCACUUAGAAAAAAAGGCAACCCUCUCCUCCCCACAGAGCUUAUUUAUUCCUUCUGUAUACCUAAACAUUGAUGAAACAGACUGCACCAUUGCGUUCUUUUAAAUUCAACUCUUAAGACAUUGCUUUUUAAACGAGGACAAUGAAGUUUCAGCUUGGCAACCUGACCUAGAAAUGAUUAUCAAAAUUAGAGGUAUAAUGCUUCUUUAUAUGGUUCUAUUUUCUCCAAAGAGUAUUUUUUUAAUAAGUCAGAAGGGAAAAGUUAAUUAAAAAAAUUCAGAAGGCAAAUCGAACGAUAUGUUUAUUUGAAGAGUCAGAUCAGUCAUCAGGUAGUUUAAGAAGCCACUGGCAAAAUGGAAAGAACUUCAGUUACGGAGUCACCAAACCCGUUAAAUCCCAGUUUUGCUACUCAUCCUUCAUCUCUGUUAAAUGAGUAUAGUAUAAUUCCUAUAUAUCAGGGUAUUGUAAAGCUUAAUGAUAAGUUUUGGGACACAUGGUGGAUUGUGAAUAAAAGGUAGUCAUGGCUUAUAUGGUGACUUUACCUCAUGUGCACCACCCACCAUCAGAUUAAGUGAGCUGUGGGGAACCCUAGUGAACAUUCAAAUCCACAUGUGUUCAUGAGAACGAACCAACCUGAGGUAGACACACAGCUGAGUUUGUCUUUGUUUCUCCUGUUGGCCACCUCUGCAGAGCACCACACAACCAUGUGGGAUUGUUUGAGACCUGUAUAAAUUCUGUGAGAUAAGUUUGAGUUUUGGUUGGUUUUGUUUGGGGUGUUUAAAAAAGAAUCAGUGUUUGAAUUUUUGGAGUCGUUUAUAAAUUCAGUUGCUUUUGCAUCUUUCAAAUUUUUUAAAAAAGAAUAUACAUCAUUUUGUGUUUUUUUUCCCCGAAAAGAAGCACAAGAAUAACCCUUUAGAAUAAACUUGGGUCUUGUUCCUAAGAUUAUGACACCUUUACUAGCGCUUUGCACACAGCAAAUACUCAAUAAACACUUGUUAUAUGUGAUUAAAUGCCCAGCCUUCCUGAAAAAUGGCCAUGGCAUAACAGAAUCUGAUGAAAUAGUAGAAGACAUAUUGCAUUGAGUGAAGCUACCUUACCCUCCAGAAUUAAGGGAAAUGUCAGCAUCUUCAGGGUUAAUUUUGUAAAUUCUUUAACAAGUUUUAGUUAAAUAUUAAAAUUAAAAUUUUAAUUUUCCCAGUCUACUAAUAGUUUGUCAUUGUUAUGGUUUUGCAACAUUUGAAUUUACAAUUUACUAUGUAUCCUAGCUUAAUUUAAGAGUUUUUCUUCUUUUUUUGAGAAACACUAUUAAGACUGACUGAAGAUCCAUGCUCCAAUCUUCCUCCAGGGCUGCCCACCACUGGUGUCUGCUCUGAGCUCCAUUGUCUCUGGCCCGGACUAUUGCAGUUUGCUUCCAGUUGGGCUUCCAGUCUCAUGCAAUCUACUCAUGCACAGGACUGCAGUCUUUCUGAAAUGCCAAUCUAAUCCUGGCUUGAGACCUACUGGAUAACAAGAGCUAACACUUAUUGUGCUUGGCGUUGUGUAAAGCAGUCAUUAUCUCAUUUAAUCCUAAUAACAAUCCCAUGAGAUAAUUCCCAUUUUACAGAGAAGCAAAGGGAGGCUCAGAGAGGUUAAGUAAAUUGUGCAAGUAAAUUGCAGCUUACAUUUUGAGCUUUAUUCACCCACUUAAUUACAUACACCCCUCCCCCUCACCACAGCCGCAUGAUGGCAGAAUGCUGUAAGUGUGAUGACACUUUUGUCAUAUGCUGUCUCUCCUGUCUGGAAUGUUUUUGUCUAUUUAACACUCAGAGGGGUCUUCUCCACUGUGAAGCCUUCCCAGACAGCUGUCCAACUCUAUACUUAAAUUCCCAGUAUUUCUCUAGCACACCUAUGUCAUGUGCUGCUUUGCCAUAGUUAGUUUAUCUGUCUUUCCCUUUUAUCAAAUGCCACGCAGGCUGAAACUUAACCAUAUUGCAUUAGUAUUCAUUUACACAAAGCCUGGUUAGUAGUAGAUACUUAAUAGUGUUUGUAAAAUGGAUGAACUGUGAGAUCCUCAAAGGUAUCUUACUGAUAUUUGUAUCCCCAAACAAAGCUACCACACCAGGAGGUCACCCUGGAAGGGAUCCACGUGAUGUGGACAAUUCUUCAAGUGUUCAUUCCUGAUAGUCAAUGGCCUGAGGAACUCACUUUCUCCCACCACUCUGUGUCCAAGCCCACUCCUGCACGCUCCUCAUUCUCUCGUGAAACUUCCAGCAACAUAGGCUUUAUCUUGGAGUCAUUCCUCAUUUGUUCUGCUCCCUGGUCCUGCCAUAUUGAAACAGUUGACAAGGCCUGUCAAUUCUUCCUGUGAAAUGUUUCUCACCUCCUUCCCUUCCUCCCUCUCUUUAUUGUCUAUUGCUUCUCUCCUAUUAUAGGUGGUGGCUCUUCAAUUUUUAAAUAGGAAGAACUGAGAGAAGGAAUCACAGGCCAGUUGCAAAAGGAGUUUAACAGACUGGCUUUGAAGCUGCCAUCACAGGACAAAAUGCUAUUGUAUUUAGAGUGCAUGUUACAAAUUAAUAAUAUAGCAAAGUUCUAUAUAAGUAUACCUUACAUAAAUUGAGAAAGUGUCCAUUGUAUAUAUCAAAUUAUACAUACAUCUAUAUGUAUAAUAUAUAUAUUUGUGAUAGAGGUUAUGCCAGGGGAGGCCCUACUUUAUACAGCAACUGCAAGAAUUGUUUCUUACAUGAUUUCUUUGACUCCAAGCACUUUCCCUUUUGUUGCUGGAUAAAUCUUCCUAAAGAACAGCUUUAAUAUUAUUAAUACUCACAAACCUUCACUGUCUCCCUAUUGCCUACUAAAUAAGGAACAAUCAUUCUGUACAUGAACUUUAGUGCCCUUCAUAAUAUAGAUCCCACUCAUUUUUUUGACUUUAUAUCCCAUGGGUCACUGUUGUUUUGUGUAUCAAUCAGGAACGCCAUUGGCUGCAGGUAACAGAACAUCUAAUGUAUGCUGGCUUAAACAGUGAACCCUUUUUUCUCACAUAAUAAGAAAUUAAGAGGUCUGCUGCAGGGCUGGUGCAAGUACCCAAUGAUGGUCAAAUGCUCCUUCUAUCUCUCUAUUCACCAUCCCAUCAUAUAGCUUUUAUUCCUCUGCUUAUCACCUCCGGACCUCAAGAGGCACCUCCAGGGAUCUCAUCCACAUUUCAAGCAGAAGAAAGGAGAGAGAGCAAAGGGCAAAAGUUUAAGGAAAGUUCAUGCUAAUUGCGCCUGUCCUAUUUUUAAGGAUAAAGUAAAUACUUUCCCACAAUCCUAACCCAGCAAUCUUCUGCUUAUGACUCAGUGACCAGAAGGGUGUCAUAGGGUGGAAGGUGCCUGGGGGAGGUGAAGUUGUGGAUAGAGGUGGGGUGGCCAAUUGGCAGCACCUGCCACCUCUCCCACCUUAAUCAGGCGGCUCACUCACUUUAUCCGCACCUGCCUCCCCAUGAUUUACUCCACCUUGGAUGAUCUUUGCCCUACUCUAUCUCUGCUUAUUGAAGUUCUUUCAUUUUUAAAAAAUCCUGAUAAAAUACCGCUUUCUCCAGGAAGCCUUCCUUGACUCCUUCUAAACCACUCUUACAAAAAUUUUCCUUCUGAGAUCAACCACUGUUUGUAUUUUGCUGUAUAUAGAACUCCUUACACUGUACUAUGGCUAAUGUUUGUUUUGUCUCCUUGUCUGCAUUUUGAGGUCCGAGAGGACAGGGAUUACGUCCAAUUCAUCUUUGUAUUUCCAAGGCAGCUCAGCACAGAGUAGUAUUCAAUAAGUAUUGAAUGGAUGCAUGCAUAUUCUGCAAUAUUCUAUUCUGAACAGAAAAGUCUGCAAUACCCACCCUGUAUCUAUAAUGGCUCCUCUGAUCCAAGUUAAAGAAGAACAUCUGCAGUCCUCUGUGAAUAUUGGCUGCUGUCUUCUGUCCUCAGUUGAGGCAGGGACAUCUGUGGUGGCAACCUGAUUAUCUACCAAUACUUUUUAUGUUUCUCUGCCCAAAUGUGCAGCUGUUUCCUGGGUGGGAAAGUAAAGAAACAGUGAAAAUCAGACAAAAUAACAGCAAUUUCAGCAGGAGAUUUGUGAGAAUAUUAGGCUUAAGUUAACAACCUCAAAAUUAUGUUACAACAUAAGGACUAAUAAUAUUAUACCAAUUAAUAAGCCCCUUAUGCCAGACACUGCACUUUAUAUGCAUUAUGCCACGGACUCCUCAUAAGAACAUACUCAUUUAUUAAAUGAGGAAACCAAGACUCAGAAAGGUUAAGAAAUUUGUGCAAGAUUACAUAGCUUUUAAGUGGCAGCACUGGGC
rnacentral:lncRNA from 10 species